GACGAGGGUCCUUCGGGACUCGAGUGGCGAACGGGUGAGUAACACGUAGGGAACCUGCCCGUGCGACCGGGAGAACUUUCGGAAACGGAAGCUGAUACCGGAUAGGGACAGAGACGGCAUCGACUCUGUGUUAAAGGAGCUGAAAGGCUCCGCGCACGGAUGGACCUGCGGUGCAUUAGCUGGUUGGUGAGGUAACGGCCCACCAAGGCGACGAUGCAUAGCCGGCCUGAGAGGGCGGACGGCCACACUGGGACUGAGACACGGCCCAGACUCCUACGGGAGGCAGCAGUAGGGAAUUUUCGUCAAUGGGCGCAAGCCUGAACGAGCAAUGCCGCGUGAACGAGGAAGGUCUUCGGAUCGUAAAGUUCUGUUGAAGGGGAAAAAGAGCGGAGAGAGGAAAUGGUCUCCGAUUGAUAUUACCCUUCGAGGAAGUCACGGCUAACUACGUGCCAGCAGCCGCGGUAAUACGUAGGUGGCGAGCGUUAUCCGGAAUGAUUGGGCGUAAAGGGUGCGUAGGCGGCCUGCUAAGUCUGGAGUGAAAGGUACCGGCUCAACCGGUACAGGCUCUGGAAACUGGCGGGCUAGAGAGCAGGAGAGGGCGGUGGAACUCCAUGUGUAGCGGUAAAAUGCGUAGAUAUAUGGAAGAACACCAGUGGCGAAGGCGGCCGCCUGGCCUGUUACUGACGCUGAGGCACGAAAGCGUGGGGAGCAAAUAGGAUUAGAUACCCUAGUAGUCCACGCCGUANACGAUGAGGACCAAGUGUUGGGGAAGACCCAGUGNUGCAGUUA
rnacentral:rRNA from 1 species